UACGGGGGGGGCAAGCGUUGUUCGGAAUUACUGGGCGUAAAGCGUGCGCAGGCGGUUUUGUAAGCCAGAUGUGAAAGCCCCGGGCUUAACCUGGGAAUGGCAUUUGGGACUGCAAGGCUUGAGUGCGGCAGAGGAGACUGGAAUUCCUGGUGUAGCAGUGAAAUGCGUAGAUAUCAAGUGGAACACCAGUGGCGAAGGCGAGUCUCUGGACAUUUCCUGACGCUGAGGCACGAAAGCCAGGGGAGCAAACGGG
rnacentral:rRNA from 1 species